UUUCCCUGGAGGGGCUUUGCGCGUGGCGAGUCUGUGUCCUCCCUGUCCCUCCGAGCAGAGAGCCUCCCCGUAUCUGGACCGGGGAGGAGCAGACGCUGGACAGGUUUCUGGGAGAAUGCUGGCAAUUCCCAGGAAGAUACGUGGAGAACGGAAAGGUUGCUACACCCAAAUAGUGGAGCAAAGCUAUGAUUAUGGAGGAUUGGACCUGCAAACUCCAGAACAGAGCAACCUUGUAAAAUGUGUGUGGGCAGCACAGAGACCUUGGGCAAGUUAACAGUUUCCUCAUCUAAAUAGUGAUUUAUGGAAAGCACCUGGUGCGUGUUCUGCCCUCUGAGGACCCUGCCCUUUCCCAAAAGGGAUAUCUUGAGAAGGAAAGUAUGGCUGCUCUUUGCUGGACAGCAGAGUCCCAGGAUGUGGCUGUGAACUUCACUGGGAAGAAUGGAGAGAACUGGACCCUGCUCAGAGAGUCUUGUACAGAGAUGUAAUGCUGUAGAACUAUAGGAACCUGGUCUUCUUGG
rnacentral:sRNA from 1 species